UACGUAGGUGGCAAGCGUUGUCCGGAAUUAUUGGGCGUAAAGCGCGCGCAGGCGGCCUCGUAAGGCUGAUGUGAAAGCCCCCGGCUCAACCGGGGAGGGGCAUUGGAGACUGGGAGGCUUGAGUACAGAAGAGAAGAGUGGAAUUCCAGGUGUAGCGGUGAAAUGCGUAGAGAUGUGGAGGAACACCAGUGGCGAAGGCGACCCUUUGGCCUAUAACUGACGCUGAGGCGCGAAAGCGUGGGGAGCAAACAGG
rnacentral:misc_RNA from 1 species